GUUUCACGAGUUUGAUGAAAGGAACGAAAUUAACUGGUUUUUACGAUUCUUGACGAAUCCAGACAAGGGACUACGGACAAAUAUCGAUGGCAAAUAACGGCGGCGUGCGGUUUCGAUGACCGCGAGAGUAUUGCACAUUAGCCGACCAGUCGAGAGGGACUUGGCCGCGUGAACUGACCAGUAAGGACAGGCAGUCGUUGCUUUGACUGUCGUUAAAUUAACCACAAUUACCAGCGAGGCCUACACGCACGCGCCUUCCUCUCUGUACGCCUACUGUGUAUAUUACCGACGUUUAUAUGUUCAUACACGUCUUUUACAACGACGCAUCUUUAUACAAACAUGAAACCUAAUCUGUCGAACGUUGUGAUCUUUAUUUUGAUAGAACAAAAUGUAUCAUACGUAACUCGAUAAAAUAAUAUAAAACGGAAAAUGUUGUGCAUUCAUUAUUUCCUUAUAAAACGAAAAAAACUUUUCGGACGACCUAAUACAUGAUUUUGCAAUCAAAUGUUUUGAAAGCAG
rnacentral:misc_RNA from 1 species